rnacentral:tRNA from 1 species
GGAGUUAUGGUUCAGGUGGUAGAGUACCUCCCUAGCAAGCCUUAAGAACCUGAGUUCAAAUCUCAGUAUCUCCA